CCGGCGCUGACGGGAACAGGUCUACCUGGUCGGCUCAAACCCGACCGCAUGCUGGUUCAAAUCCAGCGCGCCGGACCA
rnacentral:tRNA from 1 species